rnacentral:tRNA from 1 species
GAGUAAAAGUCAAAAAGAGACAAAUUAUUGUUAAUAAUUUAACUGAGCAAAUUCUUACUCAAG